GAUGAAGAACGUAGCGAAAUGCGAUAAGUAAUGUGAAUUGCAGAAUUCAGUGAAUCAUCGAAUCUUUGAACGCACAUUGCGCCCGCUAGUAUUCUGGCGGGCAUGCCUGUUCGAGCGUCAUUUCAACCAUCAAGCCCCAGGCUUGUGUUGGGGGCCUGCGGCUGCCGCAGCCCCUGAAAAGCAGUGGCGGGCUCGCUGUCAUUCCCAGCGCAGUAGUUACAUCUCGCUCCGGGCGUGGCGGUGGGCACCUGCCGUGAAACACUCCUUCUAAGGUUGACCUCGGAUCAGGUAGGAAUACCCGCUGAACUUAAGCAUAUCAAUAAGCGGAGGA
rnacentral:misc_RNA from 1 species